UCUAUGUGCAUGUUUUCGUGUGUACAUAAGUUUUCAACUCCUUUGGGUAAAUAUAAAGGAGUGCAGUUACUGGAUCGUAUGGCAAAGAGCAUGUUCAGUUUUGCCAAAUUGUCUUCCCAAGUGGUUUCCACUAAUAGUUAAUGAAAGUUGCAAUUGCUCCACAUCCUUGUCAGCUUUUUUGUAUUGUCAGUGUUUUGGGUUUUGGUCAUUCAAAUAGGAGUAUUCUUUUUUGUUGUUGUUGUUACUUCUUUUUAUUAUUAUUAUUAUUAUUAUACUUUAAGUUCUAGGGUACAUGUGCAUAAUGUGCAGGUUUGUUACAUAUGUAUACUUGUGCCAUGUUGCUGUGCUGCACCCAUCAACUCGUCAGCACCCAUCAACUCGUCAUUUACAUCAGGUAUAACUCGAAUGCAAUCCUUCCCCCCUCCCCGCUCCCCAUGAUAGGCCCCGGUGUGUGAUGUUCCCCUUCCUGAGUCCAAGUGAUCUCAUUGUUCAGCUCCCACCUAUGAGUGAGAACAUGCGGUGUUUGGUUUUUCUGUUCUUGUGAUAGUUUGCUAAGAAUGAUGGUUUCCAGCUGCAUCCAUGUCCCUACAAAGGACACAAACUCAUCCUUUUUUAUGGCUGCAUAGUAUUCCAUGGUGUAUAUGUGCCACAUUUUCUUAAUCCAGUCUGUCACUGAUGGACAUUUGGGUUGAUUCCAAGUCUUUGCUAUUGUGAAUAGUGCCGCAAUAAACAUACGUGUGCAUGUGUCUUUAUAGCAGCAUGAUUUAUAAUCCUUUGGGUAUAUACCCAGUAAUGGGAUGGCUGGGUCAUAUGGUACAUCUAGUUCUAGAUCCUUGAGGAAUUGCCAUACUGUUUUCCAUAAUGGUUGAACUAGUUUACAAUCCCACCAACAGUGUAAAAGUGUUCCUAUUUCUCCACAUCCUCUCCAGCACCUGUUGUUUCCUGACUUUUUAAUGAUCGCCAUUCUAACUGGUGUGAGAUGGUAUCUCAUUGUGGUUUUGAUUUGCAUUUCUCUGAUGGCCAGUGAUGAUGAGCAUUUUUUCAUGUGUCUGUUGGCUGUA
rnacentral:lncRNA from 1 species